GAAGAGGCCAGAGCUCUUGCAAGCUGAGAUAGAUGGGUCCUUCAACCAAGUGGGUUGAAGUCUCUGCAAAUGGAAGAUUGAGAAGCAGACAAACUACAGUAUCUCUCUGAAUGGCCCAGGAGAGGGCUGGAUAUUGUACAUAGUGUGGGGAAAAUUUGGAACUGGGAGUGCAUUGUGUCACCUCUGUGUAAGCAUUUCCAGGGUUAACCGAGCUCUUGCCUGAUGAACGUGCUGUAGUAUCCUGAGCGAUGGAUUCAUCAGCAAGAAGAUUCAUUCUAGAUCAUUAUGUUCACGGGUACAUUGCCUUUGGCACAAUUCAAUUGAGGAAAGUCUCAUCUGAAAGUUCAACCAAAGGUCAUUUCAUCACAGGCUGUACUGGUGCUACCAGCUACAACUCCAGCCCUAGGAAAGAACAGGAUGGGUCUGCGAUGGGUCUGGCUGGCCAGGGACUAA